UAAUUGAAGAGUUUGAUCAUGGCUCAGAUUGAACGCUGGCGGCAGGCCUAACACAUGCAAGUCGGGCGGCAGCGGGGGGAAGCGUGCUUCCCUGCCGGCGAGCGGCGGACGGGUGAGUAAUGUCUGGGGAUCUGCCCGAUGGAGGGGGAUAACCACUGGAAACGGUGGCUAAUACCGCAUGACCUCUGAGGAGCAAAGUGGGGGACCUUCGGGCCUCACGCCAUCGGAUGAACCCAGAUGGGAUUAGCUAGUAGGCGGGGUAAUGGCCCACCUAGGCGACGAUCCCUAGCUGGUCUGAGAGGAUGACCAGCCACACUGGGACUGAGACACGGCCCAGACUCCUACGGGAGGCAGCAGUGGGGAAUAUUGCACAAUGGGCGCAAGCCUGAUGCAGCCAUGCCGCGUGUAUGAAGAAGGCCUUCGGGUUGUAAAGUACUUUCAGCGGGGAGGA
rnacentral:rRNA from 1 species